GACGAACGCUGGCGGCGUGCUUAACACAUGCAAGUCGAACGGAAAGGCCCUGCUUUUGUUGGGUGCUCGAGUGGCGAACGGGUGAGUAACACGUGAGUAACCUGCCCUUGACUUUGGGAUAACUUCAGGAAACUGGGGCUAAUACCGGAUAUGAUCUCCUGCUGCAUGGUGGGGGUUGGAAAGUUUCGGCGGUUGGGGAUGGACUCGCGGCUUAUCAGCUUGUUGGUGGGGUAGUGGCUUACCAAGGCUUUGACGGGUAGCCGGCCUGAGAGGGUGACCGGCCACAUUGGGACUGAGAUACGGCCCAGACUCCUACGGGAGGCAGCAGUGGGGAAUAUUGCACAAUGGGCGGAAGCCUGAUGCAGCAACGCCGCGUGCGGGAUGACGGCCUUCGGGUUGUAAACCGCUUUCGCCUGUGACGAAGCGUGAGUGACGGUAAUGGGUAAAGAAGCACCGGCUAACUACGUG
rnacentral:rRNA from 1 species